GGUGCCGUCUGCCCCGCGGCGCUGCGGGGAUCUCCGCGGCCGAUCGCUGCCGUUCCCCCGACCCCACUCCCCGCACAUCCUCCUCUCGCAUUGCCUUUUCGCAGCGCGUAGGAAGGAAGCCUGGACGAGGACUGCUAUGAAUUAACCCGCGUUCUCCAGGCAGGGGCCGCGGGGUUAUCUCAGUGUGUGUCCCCCCCGCCCCCGACAGGCACCCUUGCUGGCCGAGGGCGAGGGGGAAAGGGUUUGUUUUGGAGACGCCCCUCGCUGCUCCGUCAUUUGCUUUUGUGGAUGGGCACACAGGGACGUGGCACGUUCCACACUCGCAUACGCGGAGGUUAAUGUUUGUGAUGUCUGGACCUGACGUAUUAGCAACAACACAACAGAGCUCGCUGCUGUCAGUGAAUUUCAGAGAGCAAGAGGCUGCCUUGAGAAGAAUAUAGAUGGGGUCCACAUCCAUAACAUGGGAGAAGGUUUAAGAAUAACGUAUUGGAAAAUGGUUUCAGAUCAUUUCACAGCGGGAAAGCCCACGGAUUCAGAAGAAUUGUGCAGAAGGGCUCCACAUCACACACGUGGCUGGGAAGCUGGUACAUGGCAUCACGGCUCAGAAGGUCGGGGAAAAUUAUCAUAAUCUGCUGCUCCAGCUUCUGGAAUAAAAGCCUGUUAAUGCCUGGAUGAAUUGGAGAACAUUUUUCAGACGGAGAUCAAACUUCCACCACGUUAUUCCUUACAACAUUAUUAUAAUAGUUAGAGAAUUUUAUUUCCCUGUCCCUGAACAUUUUCAUAACUGAAGAUGAUGGAAGACUUUGACAGCAGUGGAAAGCUAUUGUUCUUUUCUAUUUGUUGCAAAUUAAACAUACUAUGCAGCUCCACUUUCAGUAAUGUAAGGACUAAUUGAACCUCUCAAGAGAAACCAUUAACUUUGAGUUAGCUGUUGUUGGCUUUGUUAUUUUGGCACAGCUGUUCAGAGCAGAACAUGUGCUGUCACUACAUCCAUUGGUAUACUGACGGAGGGAAGAGGAUCAGCUACGCCACAUCAAGCCUUUUCAGUGUUCCACGUCUGUUUGUAGAAGGAUGUACAGGGUUCAAAAUGCAUUGGGAAAAUGUUGCAGAGUCUCAUUUUGUCUCUACCAGAAAGAAAAAGAAGAAAUUUAACUUCCACUAGCUUCACUGUGGUCAGUAUUUUACUUGAAAGAUGCCAUGGUUCUGUACUGAAGAAGCCAAAUGAUUUGCUAUUUCAGCUGUGUUUUCUUUCUACAUAUCCAUAUGAGGCAGAUCUUUAAAGCUCAGAACUUUUAGAAUGACUCAGUGUUAACAACUGCUAAUACAAGGAAUACUGCAUUUUAAGUAAUUCUAUACUACUGUAAUUAAACCGUUCUCGUAGUUUAAAAUAAAAAGAAACAGCCACGUCUGUAGGGACAGGUUUGUUGAAUUGCAGAUUGCAGAUUAGUCCUGAAGCAUCACAUCUCUCAUUUCUGCUAAACAAACAGUUUCAUUUACAAUGCUUUACUUUAGGGUUUCUUUUUUAGAUUGGGUUAGGUCAUUAUGUGAUAAUACAAAAAAAUAUAGACGUGAUGGAAAUAGACUUUUGUUUCAAGAAACUGUAUCUCUUAAAAGCAAGGAAUAAGUUCAUCAUCACUACUGUCUUUAUUCAUACGCUUUUAUGUUAUUACCCAUUUUCAGUAUAUGCAUGGCAGCUUAGGAACUCACGCAACUAAGGCACAUAUAUAUAUAUGUUCCUUGUUUAGCCAAAGGAAAUUGUUUAAAGCGCAUGACUUUGUGAAGUCUAGAAGAGAUAAAGGAAGAGCUGGGUGCUGCUCAAAGAGAUUAGUGCUAGGGAAAUAAUGACAGACUUUUAGUUAUGCAAGUAUUAGGGAGCACUGCCAUGGUAAGAGUGUAAGCUGUGCUAGCAGAGUCUGUAAUAGGAUCAAGCUGGAUAAAACUUUCUCCUUAUGCAUGAAGGAGCGCUUUCAUAAGUCAGUGUUCUUCUGUUAUAAUCCUUGAGGUCUAAUUCAAGAAAAGUUCAUCAUAUGAGAUUUUCAUUCAAAGAGACUAGUGCAGCCUGAAAAGCAGGGCAGGACUUACCAGCUCAUGUUUCAGCGUGCACUUACAUUUUUGAAAGAAAAUGUUGAUGUAAACGAAGGAAAAAAAUAUCUGUUUUGAAGUAUUUGAAGGCUCUAAUGGUUGUUUUUGUGCACUGCACAAAUUACUGCUGGGAGCUGUGAGAGAGAGGAAAAGGAACACAACUGCCUCUUCCCACCAGUACCCCUCCCAAAACUUUGAUACCCCUGAGUGCAAUGAGGAGCUGAAAGCACAACAGAAUUCACAUACAGCCUGGACCACUGUAACAACCGUGACAAAAUGAUAUGCCUUUGAUAAACAAAACACAGUAAUGGAAAGUUUGGCUAUCCUUUGCGAUCAUCUCUUCUGAGGAUAUGGAACAGUAUACAAUUAAAAUAUCCAGAAAGACUAUCCAAGAAAGUCACUAAUUCUAUCUUUUACUGUAUUCUCAGUGAAAUUUGUUUCCAGUCUAUUUUUCUUCAAAGAUGGUAGUCUUUGAAAGAAGUCUUUGAAAGACUUUGAAAGUCUUUGAAAGACUACCAUCUUCGGAUGGUAGAAAAACUCUUUCCUACCCAAAGUGAUGAAUAUUGCCUUUCUUCUGCUCCUGCUGAACGGUCUUCAAUAUUUACUUGUAACAAUCA
ensembl:lncRNA